CCCAAUCAAAAGUCAAGCUCAUUCUAACUUCAAUUUCUCUUCGUAUGAAUACUCUUAACACUAACGCUUGCGUUACAGAGAUAGAGAAGGAGGAAAAAAAAAAAAAAAAAAAACCUUGCGAUACAGAGAUGAGAAGGAGACAGAGUUCAUACCCGUCACUGUCCGUUCCCUUGCCAGAAUUAUACCACUCGAACCAGAGGUAACCUAAAGGUGCACGCAGGAAUUGAGAUACAGACAUAGAGAGAACUACCACCGGUUUGGAGAUGGCAAAGAUAGAGAAAUAAGAGAGAAUCUGAAUUCGUUAUUUGGAAAGAGCAUUGGUAACAAGAGAAAUCUAACAUCUUCUUGUCAGAACGCCAGAAACCUUUAUCGGGUGAUACUAUUGCACUUCCCUUUUUUUUUGGUGGCAACACAAAGGUAAGAUUCUGUGAAGGCACCAAUUAGUUAACCCUUUUGAAAGUUUUUAUUUUUUAUAUUUACUUCAAAUAUUUAUUUGUUUGCCUUUUGUUUCAAUGCGUAAAACAAAUCAUAGUUAUUCAUCACAUAUGUAAAUAAGAGAAGCGUUACAUUAAUGAUAGUAGCUGUGGUGAUAGAGUUAGGGGUGGUGGAUAUCAUUGCAGUGCUAGCAACAUGGUGUGAAAGAGAUUUAGGAUGGUCAUGGAGAGAGCAAUUAUUUAGAGGUUAUCAAUCUGGUGAUUGUUAUUGUAGUUUUCGGUAGUGUUGAAGAUAAGGAAGAGAUUGCUUGAGGCAUUGGAGGAGAUAUUCUUCAUGGUUGAGCUCCAUAUAGAAUUUUCUAAUGUUCUUUCACUAUUAGAUUUUUAUUACUGUAGGGACCUGUUUCGAGUGUAUGAUUUUUUGAAAUUAUGUUCUAGCCCAUGCAUGACAGGAAAUUUGAUGGGUUUAAUCUUUGAUCUCAGAAAUAUAAAUAAGAAACAUUUAAUAUUUUUCUUUGUUUGGUUUGUUGGUGCUGAGAUGUAAACAUUUAAGAUUUUUUGUUUGGCUGAGGAGGGUCACUUUGUCAAGAGUGUAGUAAAUAUGUGGUUCUAGACUUUAGCUCUGUUCUCAUUGCUUUUAAUUCAUACUUAGAAUAGUUUGAAUUUGUUGGCUUUCUUUUAUUUAGGAUUUAGGAUUGAGAUUGGAAAGUGUAUUUAAUUGAGUUAUUACCAAAGAUGGGCUAUAUUAUCCAGUUGCAGACACCUAACAAAAAUUGAUGUUAUUUCUAAAUUACAAUUAAAUACCUAAAUAUGUUAAAUUAGUUGUUUAUUAAAACCCAUUACAAAAAUCAUUGUUAUUGGAGUUUUAGAAUGGUGGAUAAACCUGCGAUUUUCAUAAGAUUUGUUAUUGUUUCUGACCUCAACUCAAAUAAACUUCAAUUCUAAAUAUUCUAAAGUAAUAUGUUUACAUAUGUUGAUGUGGGUCAUGGGUUUGUAUAUUAGGUCGUUCUUUCAGUUGGGUUUGUGUUUGAACAACUUUUAGUGAGUUCGUUUGGGUGUUAUGAACACAUAUUUCUAUCUCUCUUUUUCAUCCUUUUCUAUUAAUAUCAAUUUGUGUGUAAUAUAUUGUAGAUUAAAUAGUUUUUACUGAUGUAUCUUAGUCAUUGGUAGCUUGGGGGAGGUUUGAUAUUUUGGGUCUUCUAAGAUAGAAGUUCAAUAGCAGUUUUGGGUAAAUGGGGACAACCAAAGCUACAAUGGACAUAGAUUAUGAAUCAAUCUUUUUCGGUGAUGUUAACAACUACACCAUUGUUCAAAUGAACUCACAAAACUCCAGGUAUGAACUAAAGAUUUUGAGAUAAAUGAUAUGGUCUCCAUGUAUCUUUUAGUUUUGUUUUUACUUUUUCCAUUCCACUUAUCUUUCAACCUUGCAGUGCCAUGACAACACAAUUGAAGAGCUCAUCACAAAUAGCUUACAACGUUGACAUUGUCCUCUUUAGCAAUUAGAUUGGCCAAAUGAAUACGAAGAAAGGUGCAUCAUAGACAACAGUACCUAAUCUUUCUCCCUCUCUUUUCGGUAUUGGAACACCAUUUUUUCAUUUUUUUUUUUUUUCCUUUUGGGUUUUCAAUUUUGGCGGAUUAUUAUUGGAACACCAGUGUUUGAAGAAAUGCUUAAACUGAACUUUGGAUUGGAUAUGUGGAACCCAAUUGUUUAUGCACGGACAAUGCUAUUUACAGAUUUCUUUUAAAUUUUGUUGUGAAUUGUGAUAUCAAUAUUUGGUUAAGUAUAUGUAUGUGGGAUUGGCCUAUGUAUGCUCAACAUACAUAUUCAUAUUGGUAUAUUUAAUUUGUGUUUGCCAAUUGGGUUUGUGUAUGACCUUGGGUUCUUGCUGUCUAAUUGUUACUUUCUCUCUCAAAAGGCUAAAUACUUUGUUAUGUUGAGUUAUUUGGGUUUUGUUUGAAUGAUUUUUGCUGUUUUUUAUAGGUAAACUUUGGCAUUGGUAAUUACUAUUAUUAUUAUUAUUUAAUUUUCUAUUAAUAAAGCAUAUUUACACUCAAAAGUUGUUGGGUUAGUAAGUGAAGGGUUCCAUCCUACCUUUUUGUUAUUAAUUUUUGACGAUUUCUAAGUUAUUCUUUAUGUUGGUGCUAUUUAUCAAUUUUUUUUUGAGAUUGCUUGGAAUGAAAGAUUAUGGGUGAGAAAGUUGGAUACUUUUAACCCAAUUUUGUUGGGUAAGCAAUUUUGGAGAUUUGAGCAGGAAAGAAAUCAGAUCACCAUUGGAAGUGAGUUUCUUGUAUGGGAAGGUUAGGGACAAUUGACAUAGGAUUUAGCAAUUGCAACCUUUGGAGAAACAAAAAGGUAGGAUGGGAUAGAUUUGCAGGACAUGUGACUUUUGUUAUUGGGGAUUGUAGAAAAACAAGAUGUGAAAAUUGACUGGGAGACCAUAUGCAACAAGAGCAUGAUUUCAUAUCAGUAGGUUAACUAUUUGGAUGAGCUCACAUUUUGCUGAUUUUUUUAAUUCUUGCAGAUUACUAUUGGCAAUGGUAUUUUGCUUAUAAAUCUGAUGCCUAAUAUCAACCUAUGUUAGUAAUUCUAUUCAUGAUUCUCACGGUGUUAAAAAUAGGAAAGUGAGAUACUUUUUUUUAUGCUACCCAUAGGACAGAACAUUCAAAGCAUUUUUAGAAUUACUAUAAAUGAAUUGUAUAUUUUGAGAGUGUGAGAGACCUAUGUGUUGUCGUUGAUGAUAAAGACAGUUAUGUAAGUCAGAUAUGUAUAGUUGGCCCAUUUGGUUGGUGAUGAAAUCUAGGAAUGUUUAGUUUUAUGACUAUGACAUUGAAAUUUGCUAUCAAUUCAUUAAUAUUUUUUCUCAAAAUUGUGUAGCUUUCAUGAUGUUCAAUAAUUUUAUCUUAUCUAUAUAUAUAUAUUAUAAAACUGAAGCCUUUGACUUUCGAUUGACUUCAUAAUAUGAUGCUACGUUAACUAGCUCCACAAAUUUCCACAUCAGCAUUUUUUUUUCUCUACUUUUUAAAUCUGAAUUAAUGUCUUUUGAAUUGUAUGUACCAGUUGAUUUUUUUGAUUGAUAUUAUUGAAUUUUGGUU